CCCUUAGAUGUUCUGGGCCGCACGCGCGCUACACUGAUGCAUUCAACGAGCCUAUCCUUGACCGACAGGUCCGGGUAAUCUUUGGAUCUGCAUCGUGACGGGGAUAGAUUAUUGCAAUUAUUAAUCUUCAACGAGGAAUGCCUAGUAGGCGCAAGUCAUCAGCUUGCGUCGAUUACGUCCCUGCCCUUUGUACACACCGCCCGUCGCUCCUACCGAUUGGGUGUGCUGGUGAAAUGUUCGGAUCGGCCGUUUGUCGCGGUUUCCGCGGCUCGUGGCUGAGAAGUUCAUUAAACCCUCCCACCUAGAGGAAGGAGAAGUCGUAACA
rnacentral:rRNA from 1 species